rnacentral:rRNA from 1 species
AGUGAACGCUGGCGGCGUGCUUAACACAUGCAAGUCGAACGAGAACGGAUUAUAGCUUGCUAUAAUUGUCAGCUAAGUGGCGCACGGGUGAGUAAUGUAUAGAUAACCUGCCCUCUAGAAAGGAAUAACAGUUGGAAACGACUGCUAAUGCCCUAUAUGCCUUUAAUACAUAAGUAUGCAAGGGAAACGCUUUAGUGCUAGAGGAUGGGUCUGUAUGGUAUCAGCUAGUUGGUGAGGUAAUGGCUCACCAAGGCUAUGACGCCUAACUGGUUUGAGAGGAUGAUCAGUCACACUGGAACUGAGACACGGUCCAGACUCCUACGGGAGGCAGCAGUGGGGAAUAUUGCACAAUGGACGAAAGUCUGAUGCAGCAACGCCGCGUGGAGGAUGACACAUUUCGGUGCGUAAACUCCUUUUAUAUAGGAAGAUAAUGACGGUACUAUAUGAAUAAGCACCGGCUAACUCCGUG